ACUCCUACGGAGGCAGGCAGCAGUAGGGAAUCUUCGGCAAUGGACGAAAGUCUGACCGAGCAACGCCGCGUGAGUGAAGAAGGUUUUCGGAUCGUAAAACCCUGUUGUUAGAGAAGAACAAGGGUGAGAGUAACUGUUCACCCCUUGACGGUAUUUAACCAGAAAGCCACGGCUAACUACGUGCCAGCAGCCGCGGUAAU
rnacentral:rRNA from 1 species